GUGCCAGCAGCCGCGGUAAAACGUAGGUGGCGAGCGUUAUCCGGAAUUACUGGGCGUAAAGCGUGUGCAGGCGGGCUAGCAAGUGGUGUAUGAAAGCUCCCGGCUCAACCGGGAAGGGUUAUGCCAGACUGCUAGUCUUGAGUGCGAGAGAGGAGCGUGGAAUUCCGGGUGUAGUGGUGAAAUGCGUAGAGAUCCGGAGGAACCCCAGAGGCGAAGGCGGCGCUCUGGCUCGCAACUGACGCUCAGACACGACAGCAUGGGGAGCGAACGGGAUUAGAUACCCCAGUAGUCC
rnacentral:rRNA from 1 species